AAUUACGGCGGCUGUACGCGGGGCGUCUUCGGACGCGCCGAGUUCCUUAGUGCUCGGACUUCCACACCCGCGUACAGCUGCCACCCAU
rnacentral:antisense_RNA from 1 species